UUUCUGCAUACUGUCUCUCUCUCUCCUCCCUCACGAAUCUCUCUCUCUCUGUCACUCUUCUUCUCCGUUCGAACAAACCAACCACAAAACAACCUUAAACUUCCACCAACGACGGAGUUAAGACCACCAUCGAACUCCUGGAGACUCCACGAUCACGUAGACACCAAUUUCAGGUAAGUUUUACUUCGGAAACCUAGAUUCUAAACUCCCGUGAAAGUGCACUGUUCAUGAUCUUCGAAUUGACUUUGUUUUAGGACAAUCCAAGCUCACAGUGAGCUUAGUGAGGUUCCAAGGAAGCUCGGAGUGCUUCGUUGGAAGUUUUUGGACGUAAGAACACGGAGAUCGAUAAGUUCAAAGUUUGGCCGGAGCUUUCGAGGCAUUUUCCGGCGAAUCCCCGGCGAGUUAGGCGUCG
rnacentral:sRNA from 1 species